GGGUCUUCGGAUGCUGACAAUGGGGCACGGGGGCUUUUAAACGUGGGAAUCUGCCUAAGAGUGGGGGGACACUUUCCUGAAAAGGAAAGCUAUACCGGGUUAUCUCUUCCGAGGCAAGCAGGGGGACUUUUUCGGGGCUUGGGGUUAAAGAUGAAUCCCGCGUCAAUUUACUAGUUGGUAGGGAAGAGCCUACCCAGGGGAUGAUCUGGAGUGGGUUUAGAGGAUGAUCAGCCCCCUGGGACUGAGACACCGUCCAGAAUCCUACGGGAGGCAGCAGUGGGGAAUUUUGCACAAUGGGGGAAACCCUGAUGCAGCGAUGCCGCGUGUGGGAAGAAGGCCUUUGGGUUGGAACCACUUUCCAUUGGGAAGAAGGGAUGAGAAUUAAUAAUUCUCUGACUUGACGGUACCUUUAAAAGAAGCACCGGCUAAUUUCGUGCCAGCAGCCGCGGAAUACGAAAGGUGCAAGCGUUGUUCGGAUUUACUGGGCGUAAAGAGAUCGUAGGUGGUUUGUUAAGUUGGAUGUGAAAUCCCGGGGCUCACCUCGGAACUGCAUCCCAAACUGGCAGACUUGAUUCGGGAGGGGUAAGCGGAUUCCGUGUGUAGCAGUGAAAUGCGUAGAUAUACGGAGGAACACCUGAGGCGAAGGCGCUUACUGGACCGAUACUGACACUGAGGAUCGAAAGCGUGGGUAGCAAACAGGAUUAGAUACCCUGGUAGUCACGCCCUAAACGAUGUCACUAGCCGUUGCGGGUAUCGACCCCUGCAGUGGCGCAGCUACGCGAUAAGUUGACCGCCUGGGGAGUACGGCGCAGAUUAAACUCAAAGAAAUGACGGGGCCCGCCC
rnacentral:rRNA from 1 species